rnacentral:rRNA from 1 species
UACGGAGGGUGCAAGCGUUAUCCGGAUUCACUGGGUUUAAAGGGUGCGUAGGUGGGCUUGUAAGUCAGUGGUGAAAUCUCCGUGCUUAACAUGGAAACUGCCAUUGAUACUAUAGGUCUUGAAUUAUCUGGAGGUCAGCGGAAUAUGUCAUGUAGCGGUGAAAUGCUUAGAUAUGACAUAGAACACCAAUUGCGAAGGCAGCUGGCUACAGGUUGAUUGACACUGAGGCACGAAAGCGUGGGGAUCAAACAGG